rnacentral:rRNA from 1 species
CUCAGAUUGAACGCUGGCGGUAGGCCUAACACAUGCAAGUCGAGCGGAAACGACACUAACAAUCCUUCGGGUGCGUUAAUGGGCGUCGAGCGGCGGACGGGUGAGUAAUGCCUAGGAAAUUGCCUUGAUGUGGGGGAUAACCAUUGGAAACGAUGGCUAAUACCGCAUAAUGCCUACGGGGCCAAAGAGGGGGGACCUUCGGGCCUCUCGCGUCAAGAUAUGCCUAGGUGGGAUUAGCUAGUUGGUGAGGUAAUGGCUCACCAAGGCGACGAUCCCUAGCUGGUCUGAGAGGAUGAUCAGCCACACUGGAACUGAGACACGGUCCAGACUCCGUACGGGAGGCAGCGAGUGGGGAAUAUUGCACAAUGGGCGAAAGCCUGAUGCAGCCAUGCCGCGUGUAUGAAGAACGGUCCGUUCGGUUGUAAAGUACUUUCAGUUGUGGUAAGGUAAGGGGUAACGUUAAGUAGCGUUAUCUCUUGACGUUAAGCAACGAGAAGAACCGAGGUU